AUAUUGAUCGUGAGUGGUACAAGUUCUAAGUACGAUAUUCUCGUGACUCUGACUCUUACGAGUACGCAGUUAAAACGUAAAACAGUGAAAUUGUGGUCUCGAGACGAUCCCUUGAUCAGCCUUUAAUGGAUUGACAUACCACAGAUAUCUUAUAAGAUAUGUGUAGCUGAUUGUCUCAUUUUUCCUUAGAAGUACAUAUUCCUUUAUUUGGCCAAGCUGGACCCGCCUUAGGCAUGCAAGCGCGCACAUGCAAGUCUUUUCUGCAGCUGCAGCAGUUCACCACAAUAUCCAAUCGACGAGGCCUGCUGGCGGGUUUAAAAGGGCCACUGGCAAGCUGCCAAUAGGGCUGACAGAAAACGACAGGCUCGUUAACGGAUAACCGGCGACAAUUAAGAAUGUAAGAUGCGGUGUUUGCGAAGUAACAUUGUCUACCAAUCAUUUUGAACAAUAAAUUUUCGAUAAACUCCAUGAAGAAUUCGGAUGUCAUUUACUGCACCUACGACCGACCGACCGCGGUGAUAGGGACUGGUCCUCUUAAGUAGGGCCAUGAUGCAAAUGGGUAGUGGCAGGACAAAUUUAAAGGACUCGCCGGGGGAUCGUCCCAGCACCACCAUUUUCCUGAAGAUAAAUAGAAACGAAUUUUGUUGUAUUUAUUAAAUGUUACUACAUCUCAUAAAUGUCAGAAAACAGGUUUCCUAUUCAAUUCAUUAUUUAAAUGAAUGCGUCCAAUAUACCACCUCCCCCUUAAUAUAUUUCCUCUACUUUUCUCCGUCUCACUCACUAUUUCUGUCUGUCACACACGAUUUCUGUCUCUCAUGCACUCUUUUGCUCUUUCGAACUUUUUAUAUCUUGCAACUUAUAAUCGUGUACGAACUAUCGUUGUAAGCCUCAGAAUUCUUCACUGCUCAGACUCUACAGCCGAGUAGAAGUUUUAAAGUCUUUCAGAUACUACAGAUGUGAUUGUACUGUCUUCAUUUGUUUGGUGCUUUUUGAAUAAUAAUACGUAUUUACGCCAGUACUUUUAAAGCUUUGUGUGAGGCUGACGAUGACGAUCGGUGAAAUCUUUGAUUACUUACAUUCAUCCCGGACAAAAAACUUUGAGAGUUUACCUUCCAAUGAGUUUAGAUCUAUGACUUUCAAUUUACUGGUGUUUUGGUCGACGAUAAUUGUGGCAAGCUGUUUCAUCCAAUGUUUCGGCUGGACCUGGUCAUACUUGAUUCAGAUACUAGAAGCGUGGCCUCACAUUUUCGGUUCUUUGGAUAUCGAUGAUGAUGCUGACGAAGAACAUUAACACUAAAGUUCUUCACCUCCAGCUCAAACCUGACUCGUUGUCAGGUAUUAGUUUGUGAGAUUCUUGUAAGCAUGAUUUUAUGAUUCUAGUUCGUUCAAUAUUCAAUGAUGACGAUGUCAGUGGACAUUAGAUUUUUGAAGACAUAUUCAUCAUGUUGUAUUCAUCAUUUAAUAUUUGCAUAAGAGUUCACAAUUAAUCGCGAGGUCAUGCGUUUUAGUUUCCAUACUUUAGUUUAAAUAAUGAUUCCCGUGCACGUUAAAUUGGAAAUUGAACGCACAUAGAAAUACGUGAUACAGAAAAACAUACAUAGACAAUUUACACUUGAAAAUAAUUAAUGUUUUUAUAUAAUUGUAAUUUUAUAAGAUUCUAGUGUGUACAUAAAUACUAUAGUUAAUUAUAAUUAAAGCAAUGUAAUGAAAAUGUUAAGCAUUUGGUACAAUCUGUGGUAACAGGCAAUACAAUGUAAUGCGUUAAAUAUCUCAAAACAUGUAAUAGAUAUUAACACAAAUUUUGAAUAUACAAUGAGAAAUAACAUUUGGAAUACACCCAUCAAUGUUAGAUAAUAUAGAUACGCAAUUAAAUAUGUAUAUAGCGAAUAAAAUAACUUCUCUAUAAUGAUGUACGAUAUCCUAAAGUAACACUUUCUUACUGAAAAUUGUGAUAUAGAUAUUUCCUUUGUAAAUAGUUGUUUUCUCUAUAUUUACAUCUCUAAUCUGGCCUUUUUCUAAGUAACAGCGAUCGUUACUUAACAGUUUUAAGCGUCUCGUUAGUCAAAAUUUAUAAUUUACGUUCGAAAGUAUAACCGAGAUCGAUUGCAACGCUCUUUUCUAUACGAAAAAUAUCUAUCUAUACGAAUGCAAUAUCUGCAAUAUCUAUACGAAAAUAAUGAAUCUAAUAACGAAGAGGAUAAAGAAUAUUAUUGUCUGGUAUGCACGGAAUCCUACAGCACGAUGAAACCAGACGAAGAGAUUGGUGCAAUGUAGUGAGUGUAAGAAUUG